GACGAACGCUGGCGGCGUGCCUAAUACAUGCAAGUCGAACGAACCGCGACUAAGUGCUUGCACUAAGUCAAGGUGAGUGGCGAACGGGUGAGUAACACGUGGGUAACCUACCUCAUAGUGGGGGAUAACAAUCGGAAACGACUGCUAAUACCGCAUAGGACAUAGGAUCACAUGAUCCAGUGAGGAAAGGUGGCGCAAGCUAUCGCUAAGAGAUGGACCCGCGGUGCAUUAGCUAGUUGGUAGGGUAAAGGCCUACCAAGGCGAUGAUGCAUAGCCGACCUGAGAGGGUGAUCGGCCACAUUGGGACUGAGACACGGCCCAAACUCCUACGGGAGGCAGCAGUAGGGAAUCUUCCGCAAUGGACGCAAGUCUGACGGAGCAACGCCGCGUGAGUGAAGAAGGUCUUCGGAUCGUAAAGCUCUGUUGUUAGAGAAGAACAGCGCAUAGAGUAACUGCUAUGCGUGUGACGGUAUCUAACCAGAAAGCCACGGCUAACUACGUG
rnacentral:rRNA from 1 species